rnacentral:siRNA from 1 species
UUUCUAAAAUUUCACCGUCUCAU